GGUUAAAAAGCUCGUAGUUGGAUCUCGGCGGGCAGGGGGUGGCUCGCUCUUCAGCGCUACUGCCCCGCUUUGCCCGUGUGAUUGGCGGAGGUUUCGGGGUGCUCUUCGUUGAGUGACUCGGAGCGCCGUCAGGUUUACUUUGAAAAAAUUAGAGUGCUCAAAGCAGGCUUUUCACGCUUGAAUAUUCGUGCAUGGAAUAAUGGAAUAGGAACUCGUUUCUAUUUUGUUGGUUUUCGGAAAUCGAGUUAAUGGUUAACAGGGACAAUUGGGGGCAUUAGUAUUCAGACGACAGAGGUGAAAUUCUUGGACCGUCUGAAGACUGACUACUGCGAAAGCAUUUGCCAAGAGUGUUUUCAUUAAUCAAGAACGAAAGUUAGAGGUUCGAAGGCGAUCAGAUACCGCCCUAGUUCUAACCAUAAACGAUGCCAGCUAGCGAUCUGCCGAGUUUUUUUUGUAGGCUCCGCAGGAAGCUUUCGGGAAACCAAAGCUUUUGGGUUCCGGGGGAAGUAUGGUUGCAAAGCUGAGACUUAAAGGAAUUGACGGAAGGGCACCCCCAGGAGUGGAGCCUGCGGCCUUAAUUUGACUC
rnacentral:rRNA from 1 species